UACGUAGGGGGCAAGCGUUGUCCGGAUUUAUUGGGCGUAAAGAGCUCGUAGGUGGUUCGGUAAGUCGGAUGUGAAAUCUCCAGGCUCAACCUGGAGGGGUCAUUCGAUACUGCCGUGACUAGAGGUCGGUAGGGGAGUGUGGAAUUCCCGGUGUAGCGGUGAAAUGCGCAGAUAUCGGGAGGAACACCCGUAGCGAAGGCGGCACUCUGGGCCGGAACUGACGCUGAGGAGCGAAAGCGUGGGGAGCAAACAGG
rnacentral:rRNA from 1 species